AUUGAACGCUGGCGGCAGGCCUAACACAUGCAAGUCGAGCGGAGCGGCGGACGGGUGAGUAAUGUCUGGGAAACUGCCUGAUGGAGGGGGAUAACUACUGGAAACGGUAGCUAAUACCGCAUACUAUCGGAUGAGCCUAGGUCGGAUUAGCUAGUUGGUGGGGUAAAGGCCUACCAAGGCGACGAUCCGUAACUGGUCUGAGAGGAUGAUCAGUCACACUGGAACUGGGAAACGGUCCAGAGUCCUACGGGAGGCAGCAGUGGGGAAUAUUGGACAAUGGGCGAAAGCCGGAUCCAGCCAGGACGGGUGUGUGGAGAAGGAGUUCGGAUUGUAAAUCACUUUAAGUUGGGAGGCGGUACCAACAGAAGAAGCACCGGCUAACUUCGUGCCAGCAGCCGCGGUAAUUC
rnacentral:rRNA from 1 species